UAAAACCCAACAGUAGAGUGGAUUUCCUCUGGGAUCCAGGUUAAGCAAUCACGUUAAAAGGAGGCAACCGCCUAUUGAAGGGCUAAUGCAAUUACGUUGAAGCUUUGGCUUAGUCUAUUAUCCUCUCAUCUCCUUCUAGUUACGUUCUUCCUUGUAUUAUUCACCAUUAUCUUUUAUUCUCCAUUAGAGUUGUGUCGAGAAAUUUGAGUGAACUAAUUUCAGCUUCACUCAUAUGAAUGGAAUACAAAAGUUUUCUCAAAAACCAACUUGUUUAUCAAGGAUUUAGACUGGUACAAUUUUUCUACCUCAAAUCCUUUCGGAAACAGCUUAUCUACCUCACUUCACGGGGUAGUGAUAAAGAUCUGCGUACACUCUAUCCUUUCCAGACCUCAAUUGUUGGAUCCCCACACUACAACUGAUUGAGUUAACAAGGUGUCUUCCCAAACUUGGGGAAUCUGCUGCUCGAAUUCAACAAGAACAACAAGACCUCGGAAACAACCCAGUGGACGUUCGUAUCUCCGAACCAUGUAAGUAUAUAGUAUUUAUCAGGGUCACCCUCUAUUUCUCAUUCCCAACAAGACCUCGAAAACAACCCAGUGGACGUUCGUAUCUCCAAACCAUGUAAGUAUAUAGUAUUUAUCAGGGUCACACUCUAUUUCUCAUUCCACAAGUCAAGUCGUACAUAAAAGUUAUUUAGCUUUGCACCAUAUUAUUUCACAAAAAUAACUUUGACAAAAUUUGGUUAAAAUCCUACUUAAAAUAUAAGAGAAAUUAACAAGAAUAUCCCUUAUAUUUGAGGGUAGUUCAAAAUGGCCUUAAAUAUAUUUUUGCGCAGUUCUGUUACUUUAGUUUAAGCUUGUUAAAUGUGGCAAAUGGAUUGUUUGGCUAAUGUCCAACGCUGCCAUUAAAUUACAAUAAAAAUAAAAUGAAAAAAAUGAAGAGUAGAUGCUUGUUCUCUUUGUUGUCAUGGCACACGAAUUUUAAAGUAUCGAUUGUAUAAAUUCUAGUAAAAUGAGGUUUACUUGGAUUCAACUGAUCUUUUAUGAAAUAAUUGAAAUAUCAAUAAGUGAAAUAUUUUGUAUAAAUUUUAUCAAGAUAAGUAUAUAUUUAUCAAGGUUACACACAGUUUCUCAUUUUCACGUCACAUCAUACAGUGCCUGAUGAAGGAGAAGAGGUUUAUUAUCUUGAUGUUUCAGAAGAUGAUGAUGAAUGUUGAUGUUGUAGAAGAUUCAGAUGCUG
rnacentral:lncRNA from 1 species